CCUACGGGUGGCUGCAGUGGGGAAUAUUGGUCAAUGGGCGCGAGCCUGAACCAGCCAAGUAGCGUGAAGGAUGACUGCCCUACGGGUUGUAAACUUCUUUUAUAGAGGAAUAAAGUGAGGCACGUGUGCCUUUUUGUAUGUACUUUAUGAAUGAGGAUCGGCUAACUCCGUGCCAGCAGCCGCGGGAAUACGGAGGAUCCGAGCGUUAUCCGGAUUUAUUGGGUGUAAAGGGAGCGUAGAUGGGUUGUUAAGUCAGUUGUGAAAGUUUGCGGCUCAACCGUAAAAUUGCAAUUGAUACUGGCAGGCUUGAGUACAGGUGAGGUAGGUGGAAUUCGUGGUGUAGCGGUGAAAUGCUUAGAUAUCACGAAGAACUCCGAUGGCGAAGGCAGCUUACUAAACUGCCACUGACAUUGAUGCUCGAAAGUGUGGGUAUCAAACAGGAUUAGAUACCCGUGUAGUC
rnacentral:rRNA from 1 species